rnacentral:rRNA from 1 species
UACGUAGGGUGCAAGCGUUGUCCGGAUUUAUUGGGUUUAAAGGGUGCGUAGGCGGGCCAUUAAGUCAGUGGUGAAAUCCAGCAGCUUAACUGUUGAUGUGCCAUUGAUACUGGUAGCCUUGAGUACAGAUGAGGUAGGCGGAAUUGACAGUGUAGCGGUGAAAUGCAUAGAUAUUGUCAAGAACUCCGAUAGCGAAGGCAGCUUACUGGGCUGUAACUGACGCUGAUGCUCGAAAGUGUGGGGAUCAAUCAGG